UACAGAGAGUGCAAGCGUUAUUCGGAUUCACUGGGCGUAAAGGGUGCGCAGGCGGCCAAGUGUGUGAGGCGUGAAAGCCCGGGGCUUAACUCCGGAAUUGCACCUCAAACUACAUGGCUAGAGCAUUGGAGAGGGUAGCAGAAUUCACGGUGUAGCAGUGAAAUGCGUAGAUAUCGUGAGGAAUACCAGAGGCGAAGGCGGCUACCUGGACAAUUGCUGACGCUCAGGCACGAAAGCGUGGGGAGCAAAAGGG
rnacentral:rRNA from 1 species